CUGGUAUAGUCAAAUACUCUGUAAGUUACCCAGUGCCAUCUUUCAUUUCUUUUUUUUAUUUUCAAUAAUUUUGCUUAUGUGGGACAGAGGACAAAAACAGACUUUCAAUACAAAAGCGGCGUGAAAGGUUAUUUCAAACAAUUUUCCAUUCCGACGGAUGGUGUUUCUGAAGGUUUAUAUUGUGCAGCAACAACAUCAUAAAGAUCUGAAACUGAUACAUGCUUAAUCUCUAGUAUUACCGGAUAAUAAAGUAGGUGAAUAUAGUUGUUAUUCUUGGAUAUUUAAAUGUGGGUUUCAAACGUCCAAUUUGCGAUUUCUUUUUUCAAAUAGAGCGC
rnacentral:lncRNA from 1 species